UAGGGAAUCUUCCGCAAUGGACGCAAGUCUGACGGAGCAACGCCGCGUGAGUGAAGAAGGAUUUCGGUUCGUAAAACUCUGUUGUUAGAGAAGAACAGCGCAUAGAGUAACUGUUAUGCGUGUGACGGUAUCUAACCAGAAAGCCACGGCUAACUACGUGCCAGCAGCCGCGGUAAUACGUAGGUGGCAAGCGUUGUUCGGAUUUAUUGGGCGUAAAGCGAGCGCAGGCGGUUAGAUAAGUCUGAAGUUAAAGGCAGUGGCUCAACCAUUGUAGGCUUUGGAAACUGUGUAACUUGAGUGCAGAAGGGGAGAGUGGAAUUCCAUGUGUAGCGGUGAAAUGCGAGGAUAUAAGGAGGAACACCGGUGGCGAAAGCGGCUCUCUGGUCUGUAACUGACGCUGAUGUGCGAAAGCGUGGGGAUCAAACAGG
rnacentral:rRNA from 1 species